CAUGCAAGUCGAACGCAUCCUUCGGGGUGAGUGGCAGACGGGUGAGUAACGCGUGGGAACGUGCCCUUCAGUUCGGAAUAACCCAGGGAAACUUGGGCUAAUACCGGAUACGUGCGAGAGCAGAAAGAUUUAUCGCUGAAGGAUCGGCCCGCGUCUGAUUAGCUAGUUGGUGAGGUAAUGGCUCACCAAGGCGACGAUCAGUAGCUGGUCUGAGAGGACGAUCAGCCACACUGGGACUGAGACACGGCCCAGACUCCUACGGGAGGCAGCAGUGGGGAAUAUUGGACAAUGGGCGAAAGCCUGAUCCAGCAAUGCCGCGUGUGUGAAGAAGGCCUGCGGGUUGUAAAGCACUUUCAGCAGGGAAGAAAAGCUCGGGGCUAAUAUCCCUGGGACUUGACGUCACCUGCAGAAGAAGCACCGGCUAACUCCGUGCCAGCAGCCGCGGUAAUACGGAGGGUGCGAGCGUUAAUCGGAAUUACUGGGCGUAAAGCGCGCGUAGGCGGUUUGGCAAGUCGGAUGUGAAAGCCCCGGGCUUAACCUGGGAAUUGCAUCCGAGACUGCUUGACUAGAGUUUAGUAGAGGAAAGCGGAAUUCCGGGUGUAGCGGUGAAAUGCGUAGAUAUCCGGAAGAACAUCAGUGGCGAAAGCGGCUUUCUGGACUAAAACUGACGCUGA
rnacentral:rRNA from 1 species